UGAUUGUGAAAGAUGCACAUCUAUAAUUCAGAGUGAUCUCUGCUGUUUUAGUUUGACUAAUUAGUUGGUUUAGACAUUGACAAUUGAUGAUCAAGAAUAUCUGGUCAUAACUUGUAUGAGUGAGUACUGAUGUUUGUCCAGGUGCUGAAGCAGCUCCAAGGAAGAAGGCCGCAGCUUCUGCUUGAGGUCUUAGAGACAGUUACCUGAGAGCUUAGAGGCUAUUAGUUGUAGCUUCAUUUUGAUAUUUCAAGUGUUAGAGAAAUUUUGGGGAACCUUCUAUCUUGGGUUUAUUGCCCUUUGAAAGAUUAAUGUGCUUAAAAUUCUCGAAGUAUGUAUUCCAACUUGACAUUUU
rnacentral:lncRNA from 1 species